CAGAGCCAGAAGGGCCCCCCUGAGCCUCCUUUUCUCCAGGCUGAGCCCCUUCCCAGCUCCCUCAGCCCUUCCUGGGGCUCCAGACCGGAGUGUGGAGGUGGUUCAGGCUUUGUCCAGCAUUGUUUGCACUCUCAGCAUCGCCCCGAUAGCAGCGUGUGCCAGGGGCUGUGCCACGGGCUGUGUCUGCAGGCAGGAGAAGGUCUCACACCUCCAAGUGCCCUCAAAGGAAGGAAGAGCACCCACCCCUCCAUCCCUGGGCACCAUUUCAGUUUAGCGUAGAUAUUAGGAAGGAAUUGUCCCCUGUGAGAAUGGGGAGACCCUGGCACAGGUGCCCAGAGCAGCUGUGGCUGCCCCUGGAUCCCUGGCAGUGCCCAAGGCCAGGCUGGACACUGGGACUGGAGCAGCCUGGGACAGUGGAAGGUGUCCCUGCCUGUGGCAACUGGUGGCACUUGAGCUUUAAGCACCCUUCCAAUCCAAACCAUUCCAUGACUCUAUGAUAAGGUCUUUUAAGGGCCAGCAGAGCUCUUUCACCUGCUCUUGGAAAUCUUUUUUUUUAAUGCAAUUUUACUGGAGACAAGGGUUUUAAGUUAGAAAAAGCUCCCCCUUUGAUAGAUGAGGGAUUUCUCCAAUCUUUCUGUUUUGCCUGCAUGCCUUUUUCUGGCGGCAUCCCUGGCAGGUUCAGUGCAGUGCACGAGGCUAAUCCUGUCCUGCUCCAUGCACCAUCCCUGCUCCUUCCCAUAAUUCUGUCACCAGCUAGCAGUGUCCCUCAGGGAUGCUUUGCUGCAGGCUGUGUGACUGCUGCUGUGUUCAGAAUCGCUGUCGCUCACAUGCAGUGCAGGAACAAAAUACAACUAUUCUUGCCUUUAAGUCUAAAAGCAGGGCAAGAGAAAGAGUGAAAUGACAGCAAUCUGAGUAUGCAAUAUACUGCAUUUCUAAUUGAUUCUUUACCUUUCUUCCUCCUCCUGCUGUCAUAAUUUCUUUACUAAGAGAUUCACAUCUUUCCAUUUUUUUCCCCAUCACAUAGGAACUAGGCCCAUGCCUGCUUAAAACAAAAAAAUUCAGAUUGAAACAAGCAGGGCAAAACUACUGAAGAGUCAGAGCUGUUAAUCGAUACCAUUUUCAUUCAAAGAAAGAGAUAAUAAUUCAUGCUGGGAAUAUGAGAAACUGAACUGGAGGAGUCCCAAGUAUGAGAUAACACAGCAUUAUCCUCCAGAAGCCCUCAGGGAAUAGAUAAAAAUAAUUGGUUUUUUGGGGUUUUUUUGAUCUCAGACACCUAAAUUAUCUGACUGCAUUGUGCGAGCACAUUCAGCAGAUUGAUAACAGAUCAGCCACAAAAUCCUGCUGCACUUCACACUCUGCUCCAAAACUGAGCAGCCCAGUAAAAUUAAUGAGACAAUUCUCAUCUCUCAUGAGGUCAAGCCAUUGCACAGGCAUAGCCAGGGGGGGAGGAUCGUUGUGGAAAAAAACCAAAACAAACAGUGCCUGACGAGGUGGUUACACAACCAAGUGCUCCUGGCAAGGCCCCCACAUCAUUAGUUGUUAUUAACUGUCCUGUGCAGAGCCAUCAGCUCUCUCAGGAGCCAGGAGAGUGCUGAAGGGUUUACAAAAGCUCCUCACUUGUACCCUAGAUAAAUCUGGAGGUGGCCUUGAAGAGUUCCCCUCCUGCAGGCUCGAGUCUCAAGAACACAGCGCAGCGAGAGCUCGCGUUGUGCGGAUUUUAUUUGAUUUUCCACUAAAAGGUCAGACUGGAGAAAGCAAUGGGCUCAGAGCAGCUUUGCAGCUGGGUCCAGCUCGCUCACAUCCUUGCCAAGGGAAGAAGAAGUUAAUGCCCUGAGAUAAGCCCUCGUCACAAUAUUGUUUAAUUGCAUAAGGCUUCCAUCGAGCUGGAGAUAAGAGCAGGAAUUUGUCCCCAGUCCAGCUGGGUGGGGCAGCUGAGCUCAUGGAGUGUGUCAGAAUGGGAACCAAAAGCAAGGGGUUCAUCUGAGGUGGUUGUCCCACCAUUAGAACUGGAACGAGCAAACUGAUACUGACAGCUGAUGGAAAAGUUAACUUUUCAUGGGAGCAAUAAAUCAGCCUUCUUUUGACAACAGAAGGCUUAAAACUAUAAUUUCUCUUCAGAUUGCAUUGGGAAUGUUCAUCGAGCCAAACUGCUACUCUGACACCACUACACCAAUAUUUUCAGACCUCUUUAGCAACCAAGAAACCAAAGCAGGAGGAUGAAUUGAUUUACCUAAGACUACAGAGAAAGAUCAGCUUCAGUUUUAAAUUAGCAAACAAAUCCCUUCAGUCCUAAUCCAUGUUCAUAAUUCUUCUUGUAAGAAAAAAGAGCAUUUUCCUCAUUCCAGAUCACUUUGUUACAGAUAAAUCAGAUCACGGAUGAGUCUAUCUGAAUUCCUGACUAAUGUCUCACAACAACAAAACUGGUACCUCCUUCCUAUGAAAAAAAUGGUGGCCAAAAAGUGCUUUAUUUGAACAAUCUUCUUCGUUAUUUAUUUAAUAAAUUUGUUUUUGCAGGUAAAAUGAUUCAUGUCCAGGUUUCUGGGAUAGUCUUCAUCUCCAGUUGCUAUGCUAUUUUUAAGUUUUGAUUUCACAUUAAUAAAGUUAUUACAGAGUUUAUAUUAAUCCUGAGGGGCAGCUCUGAUCUCUGUUCCCUGAGACAGGGACAGGACCCAGGGAAGGGCUGGGGCUGAGCCAGGGCAGGGUUGGGGUGGAUUUUGGGAAAGGUUCUUCCCCCAGAGGGUGCUGGCACUGCCCAGAUCCCCAGGAAAUGGGCACGAGGCUGCCAGAGCUCCAGGAGGGUUUGGACAGUGCUCCAGGGAUGCCCAGGGUAGGAUUUUUGGGGAGUCUAUGCAGGGACAGGAGCUGGGCUUGGAUUAUCCCUUCCAACUCAGCAUAUUCCAUGAUUCUCUGAAUUUUACUUAUCUCAAUUUUGUACUCUGGAAGUUUUCUCUUUCCCAGAAAAGUGCAACCUCAAUCCUUACCUGUCCAGCACUGUUUGGGCUGAUCUAACAUCCUGUAACACUCAUAUAUACAAUUCCCUUUUUUGUUUUUGAUUCAUGCCACAGCUCUUGCAUGGGGAGCUUGGUGUGGGUGCAGUGACUGGGUCAUGAGCAGCAGUGUUUGCCAAAGGCAAAGCUGGGUACACACACUCAUCCUUCGGGUCAACUGGCCUUCGUUCAUCAGUGGGGAAUGUGCCAUGACUCUGAGCAAGGGUGUGGCCUGGAGCCCUGAGCCGCUCAGGAAAAGGAAAAAACACUGCAGAGAAUGAAGAGGAAAAAAAAAAAAGGUAUAAAGCGUUUUCAAAAUAUAAAUAACGGCGUUUGAGGAAAUCUUGCUGAAGGAACAGGAUGCGCGUGGAGGUGAAGAAUUCAAAUACAAGUGCUGUGCUAAGUAUAAUCAGUAAUGAAAGUUCAGCCCUUCCUCUUAGGAUUUGGAUAAGCUGUGUGUUGGCAGUACUCCCUAAAUUCCAGGGAACAAAAAGCAAGCUUUACAUGUUGUCUUAAAGUCUUGUUGCAGCAUGGUUUGUUUAUCAUUACCACUUGUAAUGCUGUCCAGCUAUUUUUGCAAGAUUAGACUUAAAAUACACAAUAAAAUAAAUGAAUAUCUACUGAA